CACGCGGGUUGCACGCUGGGCACACGUGCCUGGUCGGUGUUACUUGAAGCGUGGGGACUAGAAGUCAGAUACUGAGGAGCAUGAUCUCUGGAAGCUGGAGAGACCUUAAGAGUGAGGCCGACCUGCUGUGGAUGCUGGAAUCCUUUGGGCACCAAGAAGCGCUUACACACGCUCUAGUGAUGGGGAACUUACCACUUCAUGAGCCCUUCCACAGCAAGUGGCUGUAAAUUGUUAACCAAGUUGGAUGCAUCUGGGGCUGCUGUGACCCUGCCGGAGGGAAGUCUUCUCCUCUAGGAACAGUCACACUUGGGCAGAAUCAGGCCCCGUGGAGCAGCCUUCUGGUGGUGGAGAAGGCACAUGGCUUAUAGAGACUUGCUCUCCCUGGUGCCAGUGUGGUAGCAACAGAACCAAGAGCAGCUCCCACCAAAGCCUGCAGAACGUCCAGAUGCCCUAAGCAUGGAGCCCAUGUACUUAAAGAUAACGAUAAUGAGCCGGCUUCGAUUGAAGGAUUAAUGGUCACUGACAACACUAAUAGCCACUACCUUUAGCAAGCACAUCUGCCCAUUUCAAGUUUAAUUAUAGCUCCUCAUAGCUUCUUAUAAGUGGAGAUGCUAACCAAGGAUGGCAUGUUCUUCCUCCUGCUUUCUGAGGAUGCUCUACUUGACUCUGUAGCAGGUUUCCAAUAAAUUUGCUUCUUUUACUGUGGUCUGUGGCUCUCCUUGAAUUAUUUCCUGCACAAGAUCCAAUAACCUGUUCUUGGAGUCUGGAUUAUGACCCUCUUUUCCAGCAAUAUAUACACAUGGGGAAUACCCAGGGAAUGAGUCGUUCUCUAUAUAAGAAUUCCAGCUUAUAUAGCACCUCCAACAAAGAACAAGAGAAAUGAGUCUCUAGGGGCAGCAACUUGUGGGAAGGCAAGUAAUUGGCAGAUAAAGACCAGUGAGUGAAGCUUGUUCAUGUCGAUUGCUCUGGCGCCAUCUCCAGGUCCAUGAAAGUCUCAAGUUGUCUUCAGUGGUUGACUUUUGUUUUUGUUUUUUUUUUUGAGACUGAGUCUCUCUUUGUCGCCCAGGCUGGGGUGCAGUGGCACCAUCUUGGCUCACUGCAACCUCCGCCUCCUGGGUUCAAGUGAUUCUCCUGCCUCAGCCUCCAGAGUAGCUGGGAUUACAGGUACCUGCGACCACGCCCAGCUAAUUUUUUGUAUUUUAAGUAGAGACAGUUUCACCAUAUUGGCCAGGCUGGUCUCAAAAUCCUGACCUCAGGUGAUCCACCUACCUUAGCCUCCCAAAGUGCUGGGAUUACAGGCAUGAGCCAUGGAGCCUGGCCCCAGCCUUUGUCCUUCUUAGUAGAACUGGGUACAGGAUACCUUAUGUCUUCGUAAAUCUAUGUCCCUCUUUUAGGCAAUUAGAGGAAGGGCAGAGAGCUUUCCUGCAUCUGCAUCUUCUCAAUUGCCUUCAGCUCAACAGUGCUUAUAACAAACAGGCAUAUUUAGUGGGGCGUAUUCUGAUCUUCCACAGAUAUUGCAGGUGUAAUGUCCUGAUGGCAGGGUAUGGGUCACAUCUCUGCUCUCAGGAGGUGGGGAGAGGGAAUCUGGAGCCUCCUCGACUUCCAUGGGGAGGUUGGGGCCGUGCCGACCGCCAUGACCCAUACAACCACAGACAGAAGUUCCUUGGUAGUAACCAGCACACAUUCAUUAUAGUGAAUGAACAGACCAGAGCAGGUAGCAUGGACCUCAGCCGCAGCUCAUGGACCAUCCAGCGCUGGGACAUUGCAGAGGUUCCCUAACCUCUCCUAAGCCUGAGUUUACUCAUGCAGAAAAUGCCAGAGUGGACUUGGAGGGUAGCUAUAGGCCCUAUGAGCACUGAGAUUUCCUGAGACAUUGCCGCUGUCCAUGCCCCUCCCCUGUCUUGACCUUUCCAACAGACUGGAGGCUAGAAUGAAGAUAAGGAGUACCAUUUUUUGUUAGGCACUUGGAGACGGUCCAGACUUUGCUAUAGCAAAGGUUAAUGUUCUGUCAUCUCAAAGAUCCAUUUCCCCAGGCUCUCGGAAUGUAAAUGUUAAGGUGAUGAAAAUAGUGAAGUCUAGGUUCUGGCUCAUUUGACUCAGAGCCGCUCACCCCUCACCGUGCAACCCUGGAGCACAGGGCCUCCUCUGUGGCCUGAACCUUCAUAAACUUGGGUUUAGGCUGUCAGCACUGAUUUAAAGAGAUUUGCUUUGUUCCGUUUGCUUCUGGGAAAGAACUGACAUUCACAGCAGGGUUUGGGGGUUAAGAGUGAAACCUGAGCUGGCUUCUUCCCCCUCUGGGGGUGCAAAGUGAGUCAGAUGUUUGCACAGAAGGCUGCGGUGUCACAUCCACAAAUUCGCAGGCUUUAUGCCUUUACCACUUCAAACAGGAAAGGUGUCGCAACAUAACAGUUUUAAUUGCUAAACCCCAGCUGCAAACCCAAAUCUCUGGAUUUAAUAAUAAUUGGGUGUGAAAGACUGUGAACAGUGGCAGUUUUCUGCCAGGUGGGUUUAUUUGUUCCUUCACCUCCUCAUUUGCUUCCUCGUUGGUGCCCAAGCCCAUUCCAAAGGCCUCUGGCCGAUCUGCCUGCGUGCCCUCCUGGCGAUGGGCCUAUGAUCUCACCUGUAGCUUUACCUUCUUUCCUGCUCCUGGUUGAGAUUUGUGGACCUUUGUAUCCACCAUGGUCGCCUUAGAACAAGUGACUGGAAAUUAUUCAUACCAGCUAUGGUUGGUAGGACUCUCAGGGCACAACACAGGUAGACAAAAAAUAAGGUUUUCUUUCUAGAACUUGACUCUGAGUCCAGGUUUUUGCCAUGCCAGCCUGGUAUGAAGCCUUUAACCAGCUGGGCUCGAUGGCUCACAUCUGUAAUCCCAGCACUUUGGGAGGCCAAGUCGGGUGGAUCACGAGGUCAGGAGUUCAAGACCAGCCCGACCAACAUGGAGAAACCCCAUUUCUAUUAAAAAUACAAAAUCAUCCGAGCACAGUCAUGCAUGCCUGCGGUCCCAGCUACUCAGGAAGCUGAUGCAGGAGAAUUGCUUGAACCUGGGAGGUGGAGGUUGCAGUGAGCAUCACUUCACUCUAGCCUGGGCGACAGAAUAAGACUCCGUCUCAAAAGAAAAAAAAAACAACCCUCUAACUGUGGUCUUUCCUGGGUACGUACCCACUUCCCCAGGAACAUAUAUAUAUUGAGUUUCGCACAGUCCUGGGGGGUGGAAGGAAGGCCAUGACUAGGGAGGGAAAUGAAUCUGGCUCUGGGUCACUGGUCCACAUAGUUGGUCAAGGGUUCUGUUGGUCCUGCUAAGUGGCCCCUUUGGCUUCAGGAGGGGCCACUUAGCAGGCCCCUCUGCUGCUUUCCUGCCAUCCUGGGGCCCUUUCUGA